rnacentral:rRNA from 1 species
UACGUAUGGAGCAAGCGUUAUCCGGAUUUACUGGGUGUAAAGGGAGCGUAGGCGGCAUACCAAGCCUGAUGUGAAAACCCGGGGCCCAACCCCGGGAGUGCAUUGGGAACUGGCAAGCUAGAGUGUCGGAGAGGCAGGCGGAAUUCCUAGUGUGGCGGUGAAAUGCGUAGAUAUUAGGAGGAACACCAGUGGCGAAGGCGGCCUGCUGGACGAUGACUGACGCUGAGGCUCGAAAGCGUGGGGAGCAAACAGG